GAUAAGCUGGGCUCGGGCCUGUGAACCCCAGGCCGCUGAAGGAGAACACGCGAACUUAGCUGCCCACCAGGCCAGCCCCUCUACCCGGGCCUUUUUAUAUUCGCUAUGGCCAGUCACAAGGGCAUCGGUCUCCGAGAAUCUCUGAAGUGUCCUCACAGAAGAGAACAAUGGCUCUGAAGUGCUACCACAGGAGAUCCCGAGUGGGACAAAAGCUGAUACUUGGAAGCUGGAGGUGGAUCAUAACAGAACUUCUUCAGGGGAGCGCUCUGUCUCUGCCCUUCAGUGACGAAGCGUGUUCUUCAGGAAUUUGCCAGAUUGUGGGCGAGUUUGCCUGGUGUCAGAGGUUGAUUGCCUCACCUGCUUUUGUCGGCUUGAGCUGGGCUCCCUCCCUGUCGUCAUGCCACAGCUCAGCAGUCUCCGGACCUGGGCACGGCUCCCUUCCUCUGCUGGGGUGGUGCAUGUGGGCAGCGUCUCCUGACGCAGGGUGGCUACAUGUUCUAGGCUUUGAGACACAGCAGACAGAGCUGAGCAAGAGCAUGAAGGAACGGCCCCCGAGCACAAGGAGCUGCUCUGUGCAUUUGUGCAACACCUCCCUGCCAACCAUGCAGAAAGCUUGGGCUUUUUAAUCCA
rnacentral:lncRNA from 1 species